rnacentral:lncRNA from 1 species
AUGCAUAGUGAACAAUUGAUCAUCUUUACUCUGUUGGUUAUUUUAUCGAUGACUCGAAUGGAAAAUUUGCUCAGAAAAAUUUUCACCAUGCAAGGCCCGACACUCAGGGUAAAAACGUGUUCUAUUUCAUACCUGCUUUGCUUAUCACCAUGUUUCUUGAUCCAUUUCAAAGUUUAUCAAUACUUUAAAUGUAUGGUUUAUCGUUUCAAAGAAAGUGCUGAGUGCAGAGGCAUUUCAAGGGACUUUGCUGAGUGUCCUGAAAGACAGAGUGAUAAAGUGUUUUACCUGGAUAGCUUCCACCUGUUGUCCCACCAUAGCCAGGGCCAACACCGCCUGAGGAACAGUGGACAUAUUACAGCCUGCAAUACUCACACUACAACUCACUUGCAGCUCCCUGGCCUGUUCCUGCAGCACCUCCUGCCCCUGUUCUUUCUGCUACACUGCCUGAACAUGCAAGGAUGCCUCCUGUUCCAGCACCAGGAAGCCCUCCUGCCCCACCACCUGGUGAACAUACGUGUGGUUGAGCUGCCUGCACCAGCACCACCCGGUCCGAAGCCUCCUGUUCCUCUGCCAGCACCACCAGGUCCAAAACCACCUGUUCCCGUGCCAGCGCCACCUGGUCCAUAG